AUGAGGAUGUGGGCAACUUGGUGUGUGGCCAUGUACUUCGUUGGAGCAAGAGCUAAAAUCACCCAGACUCCAGAUCUUGUAUUGAAGGAAGACAAGCAAGCUACUCUGACAUGCAGUCAAAAUGAUAAUCAUAAUUUUAUGUACUGGUAUCUGCAGCAGCCAGGGAAGGGGCUGCAAUUGAUCUAUUACUCCAAUGGUGCAAACGAUGAACAAGAGGGUGACAUUCACAUCGGAUACAAAGCUAAAAGAUUAAACCUUUCAGACUUCCGUUUGGAUAUUGUAUCUGUGAAGAUGAACCAUUCUGCUGUCUAUUUCUGUGCCAGCAGUUUGAACACAAUAUUAAAAAGUCAUUUGCUUUCUUUACGUAAACUUCUGUCCUUUUCAGCACCUUCCCUCAGAAGGGAGCAGCUCUCAGUACAGGAAAAGGGUACCUAG